GGGGCUGUAACUCAGUGGUAGAGUGCCUCGUUUGCAACCUCAAAUACCUCGAAAGAGAUGAUUGAUAAUGCUCGAUGAAGUCCAGGGUUCGACUCCCUGCCGCUCCA